GACGAACGCUGGCGGCGUGCUUAACACAUGCAAGUCGAACGAAAAUACCAAGCUUGCUUGGUUGAUUAGUGGCGAACGGGUGAGUAACACGUGAGUAACCUGCCCCUUACUUUCCUGGAUAACUGCUCGAAAGGGUAGCUAAUACGGGAUAUUCUGACCGGCCUGCAUGGGUUGGUUUGGAAAGGUUGUUUUUCUGGUGAGGGAUGGGCUCGCGGCCUAUCAGCUUGUUGGUGGGGUGAUGGCCUACCAAGGCUUUGACGGGUAGCCGGCCUGAGAGGGUGGACGGUCACACUGGGACUGAGAUACGGCCCAGACUCCUACGGGAGGCAGCAGUGGGGAAUAUUGCACAAUGGGCGCAAGCCUGAUGCAGCGACGCCGCGUGAGGGAUGAAGGCCUUCGGGUUGUAAACCUCUUUCGUCAGGGAACAAGGCACUGCUUUUGGUGGUGUUGAGGGUACCUGGAUAAGAAGCGCCGGCUAACUACGUGCCAGCAGCCGCGGUAAUACGUAGGGCGCAAGCGUUGUCCGGAAUUAUUGGGCGUAAAGAGCUCGUAGGCGGCUGGUCGCGUCUGUCGUGAAAACUUCCGGCUCAACCGGGGGCUUGCGGUGGGUACGGGCCGGCUAGAGUGCGGUAGGGGUAACUGGAACUCCUGGUGUAGCGGUGGAAUGCGCAGAUAUCAGGAAGAACACCGAUGGCGAAGGCAGGUUACUGGGCCGUUACUGACGCUGAGGAGCGAAAGCGUGGGGAGCGAACAGG
rnacentral:rRNA from 1 species